CCCUAGCCCUGAUAGUAGUGAAAAUCCUUUUUGAGGCUUUUUUGCCGAAAAAAGAUUGAAACGGAUAGCAGGAUAAAGC
rnacentral:sRNA from 1 species